GACGUAGGGUGCGAGCGUUGUCCGGAUUUAUUGGGCGUAAAGAGCUCGUAGGUGGCUGAGUAAGUCGGAUGUUAAAUCCCCAGGCUCAACCUGGGACACCACCCGAUACUGCUCUAGCUAGAGUCCGGUAGGGGAGCAUGGAAUUCCUGGUGUAGCGGUGAAAUGCGCAGAUAUCAGGAGGAACACCAGCGGCGAAGGCGGUGCUCUGGGCCGGAACUGACACUGAGGAGCGAAAGCGUGGGUAGCAAACAGG
rnacentral:rRNA from 1 species